rnacentral:rRNA from 1 species
UACGGAGACUGCAAGCGUUAAUCGGAAUUACUGGGCGUAAAGCGUGCGUAGGCGGUUUAUUAAGCGAGAUGUGAAAUCCCGGGGCUCAACCUCGGAACUGCAUUUCGAACUGGUAGGCUAGAGUACUGUAGAGGGUGGCGGAAUUUCCUGUGUAGCGGUGAAAUGCGUAGAGAUGGGAAGGAACAUCAGUGGCGAAGGCGGCCCCCUGGACAGAUACUGACACUCAGAUGCGAAAGCGUGGGGAGCAAACAGG